UACAGAGGGGGCAAGCGUUAUUCGGAAUUAUUGGGCGUAAAGGGCGCGUAGGCGGCUUUGCAAGUGGCGGGUGAAAUCCCUCGGCUUAACCGAGGAACUGCCUGUCAGACUGGAAGGCUUGAGACCGGGAGAGGUGAGUGGAAUUCCCAGUGUAGCGGUGAAAUGCGUAGAUAUUGGGAGGAACACCAGUGGCGAAGGCGGCUCACUGGACCGGAACUGACGCUGAGGCGCGAAAGCGUGGGGAGCAAACAGG
rnacentral:rRNA from 1 species